AUCAAAGCAAGUUUAUUUUUUCAAUCUGUAGGUGCCAAGAACACAUACGGGACUGCCAGAGAGACGACUGACAUGGAUUAUGAAAAUGCAGAAACUAUUUUUCACCAAAGCGAAGAUUCAGAUGAUUGUGAUACGGACUAUGUCAAUAUGGAGGGUAAUGUAGGGAAGAUGGAAAUGGGCAAUGACUUUGCAGGGAACAAGAUGGAUGAUGACGUAGGUGAUUACGAAAAUGUAGCAGUCACUGUCCACCAGAGGGAGGAUUUGGAUGCUUCUGACGAGGGCUACAUUGACUUAGAAACAAUGACCAUGGACAAUCAGUUUAAUGAUGAAAAAAUGUUGUGUAAACAUGGAGAAGUAUGGUAAAAAAAUUGUUAUCCAGUAUCACUUUAAUUCAAACUUGAAGUGCUCCUUUAUUCAUAAAUCACAAAAAAGGGAAUCAAAAGUCACUCAUCACUGGGUACAAUGAAAUCUGCCCAGUCUAAAAAGGUGGUUCUCUGCAGUGCAAAGAAACUAGCUUAUGUUAGAUGGAUGGAUGGAUGGAUGGAUGGAUGGAUGGAUGGAUGGAUGGAUGGUAGAAUAUUUGCCAUGCGAUCUGACUGCAGUAGCCCUAUUUUGUCUGUAUUAUUUUUGGAAGAAAAAAGACAAUUCAGUGUAAAUAAGAGUUUUCUUUGAAUUGUUUUAAAUAUUCAAGUUUUGUAUGAUUUGCAAUGAACUUAUUACACUUAUCAAAUCUACAAGAAGUGUGUCUCAGCACACUAGUACUCACGGCGGAGAGGCAUGUAGAGGUAAUCUGUCCAUUAGACCUGCAUGCCACCGUCUCAGUUUAGUUCACUUUCUGUGAUGAACGUUAGCUUAUUAUUCUGACUUGCUUUUAAAUAUCUAACUUAUAAUGACUCAACAAGAUUACAGACCUAUAACACUGGAACAAAAGUCCAGUUUCCCACAUGAGAAAAGCAGAAUCCAACAUUAAUAAAUUAACAUUGUUGCCAUAAUCAUCUUGUUUAUUGUGGUACUCUUUAAUCUUUCCCGAGAGUUUGUUGCUGGGCAUUGUGCG
ensembl:lncRNA